UACGAGGGGGGCAAGCGUUGUCCGGAAUCACUGGGCGUAAAGGGCGCGUAGGCGGCCUUUCUAAGUCAGACGUGAAAUCCCCGGGCUCAACCCGGGAACUGCGUCUGAUACUGGAAGGCUUGAAUCCGGGAGAGGGAUGUGGAAUUCCAGGUGUAGCGGUGAAAUGCGUAGAUAUCUGGAGGAACACCGGUGGCGAAGGCGGCAUCCUGGACCGGUAUUGACGCGUGAGGCGCGAAAGCCAGGGGAGCAAACGGG
rnacentral:rRNA from 1 species